rnacentral:rRNA from 1 species
AACUAACGCUGGCGGCGCGUCUUAACAUGCAAGUCGAACGGUAUCCCUUGAGCUUGCUUAGGGGAGAGAGUGGCGAACGGGUGAGUAACACGUGGAUAAUCUGCCUCCGGGUUGGGGAUAACUGUCCGAAAGGGCAGCUAAUACCGAAUGAGAUGGUAGUUACAUAAGUAGUAGCCAUUAAAGGUGGGGACCGCAAGGCCUACCGCCUGGAGAUGAGUCCGCGGCUGAUUAGCUUGUUGGUGGGGUAACGGCCUACCAAGGCGACGAUCAGUAGCCGGCCUGAGAGGGUGAACGGCCACAUUGGGACUGAGAUACGGCCCAGACUCCUACGGGAGGCAGCAGUUAAGAAUCUUGCACAAUGGGCGCAAGCCUGAUGCAGCGACGCCGCGUGAAUGAUGAAGGCUUUCGGGUUGUAAAGUUCAGUAAGCAGGGAAGAAUAAGUGGGGGGUAAUAUUCCUCAUGAUGACGGUACCUGCCUAAAGCCCCGGCUAACUACGUGCCAGCAGCCGCGGUAAUACGUAUGGGGCGAGCGUUGUUCGGAAUUAUUGGGCGUAAAGGGCGUCUAGGCGGGGAAUUAAGUUAGGUGUGAAAGCUAUGGGCUCAACCCAUAAACUGCAUCUAAAACU